rnacentral:rRNA from 1 species
UACGUAGGGGGCUAGCGUUGUCCGGAUUUAUUGGGUGUAAAGAGCGUGUAGGCGGCCAGGUAGGUCUGGUGUGAAAACUCGAGGCUUAACCUCGAGAUGUCAUCGGAAACCAUCUGGCUAGAGUCCGGAAGAGGAGAGUGGAAUUCCUGGUGUAGCGGUGAAAUGCGCAGAUAUCAGGAAGAACACCAAUGGCGAAAGCAGCUCUCUGGGACGGUACUGACGCUGAGACGCGAAAGCGUGGGGAGCGAACAGG